ensembl:lncRNA
UCUGAAGUUAUAUGAUAACAUUGUGACAAACAGUCCCAGAUUUGAAUCAAUAUUGAUUAAAACUCUUCUUUCCAGCAUAGCUCAACAUCAGUGAGAGUACAUUUUGGCAGAAUUUUUAUUUUUGGAUGAACUGUUCAACCCCCAAGUAGAACACACAACUAUCUGGCUUUUCUCGUAUUGCAAUGAUGAACCGUUUCUCUGCUUCUGUCACAGGUUGUCGACAUGCUGAUAGUCUUUCAUUGAGGAUCUAACCACUUCAACACCGACCACCAACAACUCCCCAUGAGCGAUUGAAGAGCACCCUAAAUAUACCAGCAGCACCUUCUCUCCACCAGUGGAAAGUUUUUGCUCACUUUAAAAUGUAAUUUUAAUUUUCCCAAAAACAUUUUGAUGUAGCACACCAGCAGGAGAAGUGACCGUGUAAAACUAGAACAUAACAUCUGCCAUCUACACACCUGAAGAACCAUGUACAGAACUGAGGAACCAGCAGUGAUGGAUUGUCAGGGAAUUUCACUGAAAUACUGCGCGAUUCUGAAAGCUGAACUAGUUUUUAUUUUUACCUUUAUAUGGUGAUUUAACAGCUUUGCGACUUGUGCGUACUGCACAUCUGCAUGUGUCACUUUAUUCCUAGCUCAAUAUGGCCUCUAAUGGCAUCAUCGGAUUGUUUAUAUCUGCAAUGUGUCCUCUUCCGUUUAAUGGGUUAAGUCGCCCAUCCUUAAUUCGGUCCAUUAGUCCAGUCACAGGCAAUCUUGGUGUACUUUCUGAGUGCAAUUAUAGAGGAACUGGAUGCAGAUGAUUUUUAAACUACUUUUUUGCAUACAGCAGACCUUAUGUUUAUUUUCAUUCAUUGAACUGGUUUAUAAAAAUCUGACUUCCUUAUGUUUUGGGUUACAUCAUUAGAACCACUCUGUGUUUAAGGUGUAUUUGUGUACGCUUUGUUACAGCAUUAACUGCAAAUGUGUUCUCAGUCUUACGUCAUUUCUAUUUCAGUUGACUAUAUCUGUUGUGCCUCUCACUAUCUGGUACUUUGGCCAGUUCACAGGGAAUUAUGGGUAAAGAAAUUAGAAGUAAUUUUGCACAGUUGCGUACUGACAGCUUAAUAUCCAAUGCGUUGUUGCACAAACUUGUCUCUCGCUUGCAAGAAUAGCUUUCUCUUCCUGAAUGUGUUCCACAGUUUUUUUUACCUAUGCAUGAUACUAUAGAACAAUGAAACAUUUGUGAGUGACUUUUCCUGGUUUAUAAGUUUCCAGGUUGUCCAUGUCAGUUAUUUAAGUGCUAGAAUUGUUGGUUUACUAAAACCUUAAGCAAUGCAAGAAUAUGUGUAACCUUUGAAGGUUCUUUAAAAUGUGUUUUUCCAUUACCACUGAAGUGCGGGCCACUGCUGAAACCAGACAGCUGUGAAUAGAAAUGUCUGCUGUAGAGUGAAAUGCAUUGCAGCUCAAGGAUGGAUGUAUCUAGGGUGUGAGAUCUACAUCUACAGUUCUUAAGUGCUGCACACUGAGUCUUUACAGCUUAAUAAACUUUCUUUCCCCGUAUGUCAUGUCUGGAGUAUGUAUGUUUAUAUUAGGACACAGAUUUGAUCUGUUAUGGAUCAGUCUUUCUCAAGUAGUCCAAAAAUCGUGUGACUAUUUUUAUUUUAUUUGUUUAACCACAGAAGCCAUCUUUGUGUCAUGGCUCUAUGAAUUUAAAUUGUAUAGAUGUUUACCGAAAACUCUAUAUCUCGACUAAAAUGUGCUGUUAUGACAGAAGGCCACUAUGGGUAUUAUGAAAAUUAAAAACGGUUGUGCAACCUCC